rnacentral:misc_RNA from 1 species
CUGAUAUAUGUUUCUAGUUUGAAUUCUGUUUGGAUUCUUAGAAAACAGAGGAAACAGAGUAAAAUAAGUGAAGCCUUUUGUUUUGAGCUUCUAUUUACAAUUUAUUGAGUUAUUUUUAAUGUUUAUUUACUUGAAUUCUCUUUUACUUUCCUGCAUUUUCCGGCAGCCAAAUAGGCAAGAUCUGUGACUGCUUGUUUGUAUAUGUUCUAAUUGAAGCUUAGUUGAGUUAUUCUUUCUAGGCAAUUGUAUCCUUCAGUUUCCUUUUCUUUCUAUACAUUCUGUGUUAUAUAUUGCAGUUAGAUGAUUGUUCUUAAAUUCAUUGAGAUGAUUGUUCUUAAUUUCAUUGAAUCCAUUGAAAUUCUCGGUUGACGUAAUUAUGUUUCUUCUUCCAUCCCAUUUUUUUUCCAAGUAAUUAUUUAAAAUUUUCUCCGAUCCGAUUUGUUUUGUUCUCAUUUAUUGAACUGUUGCUGGAAUUCGAACGGUUUAGAUAGAUGAUUGGGGUCCUGAAAUUAUUUUCGAUGUCGUUUGUUUACAGAGAAACAAAG